CUGGCUUCUCUUGAUUUCAUUGUGCCUGUGAGACCUUAUGGUUCGUGGGCGGUGCCAAGAAUGUGAAGCAAAAGGGAUUGUUCCUCUCGCUAUCCGGCGCGGAAUUUGGGAUGCGAUCGGACGUCGAGGAACUACAUUU
rnacentral:snoRNA from 1 species